rnacentral:lncRNA from 1 species
CUCAAGACAGGCUUUAAUCUUCGACUAGCUAAGUGACUUGUUAGUGGGUUAACCACAUCUCAUGUGAAGUUUGCUCUCUACACCUCUAUAUAUUUCUACUUGAGGUAGUCGCGUAUUCUGUUGCUCUAUAUGCUUGGAUAUCUGGUGAGAUCUAGGCUCCUUAGCAAAGACUAUGGUGCCAUUGUCUUUACAGUAUAGUGUCAU